rnacentral:sRNA from 1 species
AAGGGGCCUAGCGUAGUUCGGAAUUACUGGGCUUAAAGAGUUCGUAGGUGGUUGAAAAAGUUGGUGGUGAAAUCCCAGAGCUUAACUCUGGAACUGCCAUCAAAACUUUUCAGCUAGAGUAUGAUAUAGGAAAGCAGAAUUUCUAGUGUAGAGGUGAAAUUCGUAGAUAUUAGAAAGAAUACCAAUUGCGAAGGCAGCUUUCUGGAUCAUUACUGACACUGAGGAACGAAAGCAUGGGUAGCGAAGAGGAUUAGAUACCCUCGUAGUCCAUGCCGUAAACGAUGUGUGUUAGACGUUGGAAAUUUAUUUCAGUGUCGCAGGGAAACCGAUAAACACACCGCCUGGGGAGUACGACCGCAAGGUUAAAACUCAAAUGAAUUGACGGGGACCCGCACAAGUAGUGGAGCAUGUGGUUUAAUUCGAAGAUACGCGCAGAACCUUACCGACACUUGACAUGUUCGUCGCGACUCUAAGAGAUUAGAGUUUUCGGUUCGGCCGGACGAAACACAGGUGCUGCAUGGCUGUCGUCAGCUCGUGUCGUGAGAUGUUGGGUUAAGUCCCGCAACGAGCGCAACCCUCACUUUUAGUUGCCAUCAUUAAGUUGGGCACUCUGAAAGAACUGCCAGUGAUAAGCUGGAGGAAGGUGGGGAUGACGUCAAGUCCUCAUGGCCCUUAUGUGUUGGGCUACACACGUGCUACAAUGGCAUCUACAACAGGAAGCAAAACGGCAACGUUAAGCAAAUCCCGAAAAGAUGCCUCAGUUCGGAUUGCACUCUGCAACUCGAGUGCAUGAAGCUGGAAUUACUAGUAAUCGUGGAUCAGCGUGCCACGGUGAAUGCGUUCCCGGGUCUUGUACACACCGCCCGUCACACCAUGGGAGUUGGUUCUACCUUAAGGCAAGGUUUCAAACCCUUGACCACGGUAUAGUCAGCGACUGGGGUGAAGUCGUAACAAGGUAGCCGUAGGGGAACCUGCGGCUGGAUUACCUCCUUUCUAAGGAUGAGUGAAAGAGAAAAAUUUCACUCUAAAUAAUAUACAUCGGUAAUGUUGACCGUCCUCAUUUCUCUUCUUAAAGUAAUGUUUCCUUCUUGUAGGGCCGGUAGCUCAGUCGGUUAGAGCACACCCUUGAUAAGGGUGGGGUCGAAAGUUCGAGUCUUUCUCGGCCCACCAAAAACCUAAAUGGGGGAUUAGCUCAUCUGGGAGAGCGCCUGAUUUGCAUUCAGGAGGUAGCAGGUUCGAUCCCUGUAUCCUCCACCAGGAAACAUUUAGUUAUUAAAACUGUAAAUAAAAAUAAUUUAUAUCAAUAUCUAUAUCCGAACAUUAAAAGUUAUUAUUUAAUGUUCAAAAUAAAAAUUUGAUCACAACAUAGAUAAAUUUUCUGUUAAAAGAAUUUUUUUCUGUGCAUAAAUCAAGCGUUUAAGGGCGUGUAGUGGAUGCCUUGGCGCUGAAAGCCGAUGAAGGACGUGAUAUACUGCGAUAAGUUUCGGGGAGUUGUAUGUAAGCUUUGAUCCGAAAAUUU